UUCUGAUCACAAACUCUGGGCUGAGGGGAGAAAGUGCUGGGAGCUGGGACCCUCCCCUUCCAAGCCCCCAAAUCAGAAGAGGACAGUUUGAGACCCUUCUCCCCCAGAGCCUUCAUUCUUGGGGGUGGCAGCAGUGUCCACGCUUGCCUGUUUCCCUCCCACCCGGGAAGGCCCGGCUCCAGCCGUUCUAAGCCCUCCUCCCGCCUCUUCCCGCAGGUGCUGCAGGAAAAGGCCCCUCUCAGCCUCGAAGAGUCAGCUUCCAUCGGAUUGGCAGGUGGGCCUGUCCGUCACAGAUGAGUCCCGCCCCACCCAAGCCCAAGGACACUUCAGGGUCUCCUCGGUUGGACUACACAAUUGUCUGUCCUACAGCCAGUCGCAGUUCCGUGACUUCCCCCCACACCAGGCAUGGGGAGAACAAACCAGAAUACUCGGAUCGACUCCUUAAAACCCUCCAAUGGCUUCCCGUGGUGCCUAGUGAAUUAUGAACUUCUUAACCUGACCUGCAAGACUGUUGCCCAGCCCUGUCCACCUACCCACCUCAGCUCUUGCCAGGACCCCCCUCCCUCCCUCGGCACAUGCCAGCCUUUGCACACACCUACGCCUAGGACACGCUUGCCCUCAUACUUGAACUGGCUGACAUCUCCUAUCUCCCGGGUCUCAGCUGAGACCACACUCCCCCCGGGAAGGGAACUCUCAUGGCCUUUGACCAUCUCCGGUCACCGCAUCAAUCUCACUGCACGGGAAUUGUCUAUUUGUCCAUCUUCCCCACAAAGCCGUGAAGCUAGAGAUCACUGGUCUUGGUCACAGUUGUCACCAGAGUAUACAAUUGGUG